rnacentral:rRNA from 1 species
CAAUAGCGUAUAUUAAAGUUGUUGCGGUUAAAAAGCUCGUAGUUGGAUUUCUGCUGAGAACGACCGGUCCGCCCUCUGGGUGUGUAUCUGGCUCUUUCUUGGCAUCUUCUUGGUGAACGUUGCUGCACUUGACUGUGUGGAGCGCUACCCAGGACUUUUACUUUGAGGAAAUUAGAGUGUUUCAAGCAGGCAUACGCCUUGAAUACAUUAGCAUGGAAUAAUAAGAUAGGACCUCGGUUCUAUUUUGUUGGUUUCUAGAGCUGAGGUAAUGAUUAAUAGGGAUAGUUGGGGGCAUUCGUAUUUAACUAUCAGAGGUGAAAUUCUUGGAUUUGUUAAAGACGGACUACUGCGAAAGCAUUUGCCAAGGAUGUUUUCAUUGA